AAAAAAAUGAUUCUGAGAGGAGUUCAGUUGAUAGUGAUGCUUUUUUAACGAUAUAUAUAUAUGUCAUAUUAUGGUAAAAUAAUUAAAUUGGUAUUGUAUAUUUUUUUAGUAAUAUUUGUUUAGUAUUGUACCGAUUUUCCCAUUUUUCCCAGUUUAUCACAUUUCCUUGGAAAAAUCGAAAAAUGACCUUAAAGCACCUUCCCAGUCGGAUUUCCUUUCAGAAAAAAUGCUAUCAUUAUAAAUCGGAGCAAAAAUUCUGAUAAAAAAGUUGUCCAUAAGAAAAAUGAAGGCCGUAAUAUUUUUUAAAUAGUAUUUAUAUUUCGUACAUUUUCAGUUUUUCUU